rnacentral:rRNA from 1 species
UUUACGGGAGGCAGCAGUAGGGAAUUUUCCGCAAUGGGCGAAAGCCUGACGGAGCAAUACCGCGUGAGGGAUGACUGCCUAUGGGUUGUAAACCUCUUUUUUCAGGGAGGAAUAAAUGACGUGUACCUGAAGAAUAAGCAUCGGCUAACUCCGUGCCAGCAGCCGCGGUAAU